CUGGUUGAUCCUGCCAGUAGUCAUAUGCUUGUCUCAAAGACUAAGCCAUGCAUGUCUAAGUAUGAAUGAUAUACAGUGAAACUGCGAAUGGCUCAUUAAAACAGUUAUAGUUUAUUUGAUAAUCAAAUUUACAUGGAUAACCGUGGUAAUUCUAGAGCUAAUACAUGCUGUUUGGCCUGACUUUUAGGAAGGGCUGUAUUUAUUAGAUAACAAAUCAAUAUUCCUUCGGGUCUAUUGUGACGACUCAUAAUAACUGAUCGGAUCGCAUGGACUUUGUCCGCGACACGUCAUUCAAGUUUCUGCCCCAUCAGCUUUCGAUGGUAGUGUAUUGGACUACCAUGGCUUUAACGGGUAACGGAGGAUUAGGGUUCGAUUCCGGAGAGGGAGCCUGAGAAACGGCUACCACAUCUAAGGAAGGCAGCAGGCGCGUAAAUUACCCAAUCCUAAUUCAGGGAGGUAGUGACAAGAAAUAACGGACUGAGGCCUAUGCUUCAGGAUUGCAAUGAGUAGAAUUUACACCCCUUUAUGAGGAUCAAUUGGAGGGCAAGUCUGGU
rnacentral:rRNA from 1 species